rnacentral:rRNA from 1 species
CACACUGACACUGAAUAACGGGUCAGACUCCUACGGGAGGCAGCAGUAGGGAAUAUUGGACAAUGGGGGCAACCCUGAUCCAGCCAUGCCGCGUGGAGGAAGACGGUCCUCUGGAUUGUAAACUCCUUUUAGCAGGGGAUAAACCCCCGGUAUAUCCGGGGUUGAAGGUACCUGCAGAAUAAGCACCGGCUAACUCCGUGCCAG